rfam:Bacillus sp. NRRL B-41092 Bacillus-sp-B-41092_contig_20, whole genome shotgun sequence.
CCCUCGGAGAGUUUGAUCCUGGCUCAGGACGAACGCUGGCGGCGUGCCUAAUACAUGCAAGUCGAGCGGACAGAUGGGAGCUUGCUCCCUGAUGUCAGCGGCGGACGGGUGAGUAACACGUGGGUAACCUGCCUGUAAGACUGGGAUAACUCCGGGAAACCGGGGCUAAUACCGGAUGCUUGUUUGAACCGCAUGGUU